GGGGGUCUGUUGUUUUUUAGCUUCAGUUUGAUCUUGUUUUCCACAGUAUUCUCCAUAUAGUUCUGACAACAUAUGUGGACAAACAUUAUACUAUCUUUUAUGUCAGAAUCCAACUAUACAGUGUAUUAAUAAGUCAAAUCACAACAUCCCACAAAGAUCAAUGACUCUUUACCAGAAGUGACGGAGCAGAUGAAGAAAAAUCCACCUUCAAACUGCCAGUAAUCAGCUGGAUCCUUGGAUCAUCUGGGGGGAAGAAAUAACAGGAGACACUAAGAUUCACUGUCAAGUCCUUAAAAAGUAUGAUUUAAUUAUUUUUUGUUUAACAUUACUUUAAUAAAGCUUAAACAAAUGUUAUUUAAAUGAUCUGUACCGACAAAGAAUGCUCUGACCUUCUGUGGCUGCUUUCUAAUGUUCCACCGGACUAAACAUCAAACACCUGAAGCUCAUCUUCAGACUCGCUGUGCAGACACCUGUGUAGGAGACACUGACAAUGUGCCCUGAAAAUAAUGGAGAAAUAUUCUGCCAUUUACUGAAGACCAGUAAAAAAAGUCAACAGACCAAUGGUGUAACUUCAUGACUCACGUUUGGAAGAGUGCUACCUGCAAGGCUGAAGGAAGGCCUGAAGUUGUUGAUACUAAAAACCCCACAAUGCAUCACUGCAUCUCGCCCGGCAGUUGUUGAUCUCAGCAGACUGGAAAGAGACAGAGUAGGUCAUGUUUAUCAAAUUACUUUAUUGUACUUAUUUCAUAACUACGGAACACCAAGUUAGAGAUGAAGAUAGCACCUAUGAUCAGAGCAGUAUGUUACUUAUUAGGAUUAAAAAAGGCAAAUAGUAUGAUGAAAUGUAUAUAUUAUGUACUGUAUAGAAGCACAGAGAACUUAACAUAAACUUGGAUUCAUUCAUUAUUCAUUAUUAUUAUUAGUAAUCAAAGAGACAGAAAUAUUCAGAACUGAUGCCAACACAAAACUACUGCUACAUAAAGACACUCUCUAUGGCUUUCAAGUUUCUAUUGUUUUCUAUUAUCUUAUAACUCAUUUACUCAUAUCUCAUAUCUUACUCAUAUCAACAAAGAUAGGCUAAAUAACAAACACCUCUGUAUAAACAGUAUAAUCUUCAUAAAGGACUGUUGUUUUAGACUGUAUCAGUUUUAGCUAGAUGUUCCUAAUAAAUUGUCAGCUGAGUGUACAUUAAUAAUUAUCAGCUGUGUGCACAGGCUGCAAAGAGCCUGACUGGAAUGAACUGAUUGCUUUUGGUGCUGUUUUCACCUGGGAACUGAUACUGGCUCCCUGGCAGCCUAAAGAUGUUGUUUAAUACUUUUAUCAUAUAUUAUUAUUAUCAUCCCCAUAUAAGAUGUUUUACCCUCCUCUUCCCCUUUUAAAAAUGUGCCGCAGUAACACGUUUACUCAGAGUACAUCACCUUUCAUCACCAGCAGUGAGGGACCGUUUACGUGCUGACGUCACUGUAGCGUCUCCUCGCCAGUCUCUGGAGUUUCUGUUACCGGUAGAGUUAAUGUUGUUGUUUUCUUCAUUACAGUGACUAACUACCUGCUGUACAUUUAAAUUGAGCAGUUCUGCUCCAGCACCCACAGCUCUCUGCUGCUUAUAGCGAGUUUCACUGAUUCAGCAUUUGUUUACAUGCUGUUUAGAACUGAUUGUUACUUUAGCUUAGCAGUUAGCUCUGGCUUCUCUCUCUCUCUUGCUCAGUGUGUGUGUCUCGGACCAACAAAUUAACUUGUACAUAAGAGUGUUGUGUUUUUGUCGCUUCAGAAUAUCUGAUGUUUAUUACAACUUCAGCGAUGUCUGCUGUCAUGCUGUGGACACACAGCUCCGCUAGCUAACCGGAGCUACAAACAAUAAGGUGAGUUAUUACUGCAGACACCCAGCAGCAGCUCUCCCACUCAACACGGUUUUUCAAAUUUGAUUCUUUAUGUGUUUAUGGUCUGAAUCUCUGGUUUGAAGUGUUCUUCAAUACAAUAUGAUGUUCAUUUUCUUUUAAUUAUGGUCCUAUUUAAAGGAAAAUAGACAUUAAAGCAGAGUGGCUUUAGGGCGUGGCUACCGCUACCGCUACCUGCCUGUUGAUCCGGAUAUGACGUCAGAGCGAUGUGUCGGACAUUUGACUUGUCACUGUGUUUUCAGUUCAUCAAAGUUAGCUCCAACAUGCUGUUUGCCUGAAAAUGUUUGUUCUCAAAGACUCAGAUGAGUCGGCCGUUCAGUUUUUCCCGGUAAGUUCAUUUUGUUUUAAGCCUGUUUCUUCGCUAGCCAAAAUUAGCAUCCCUGUUAAUAUCACGGUUCAGGUGAAGAUGCACCUUGCUAACCAAGCUAGCCAGCUAGUGUUAGCGUUAGUUGAUAACCUGUGUCAACCUAGGUUAGCCAGGUGGAGGUGUUCAGUCAAAGCCCAAUAAAAAGGUGAAUUUAAUCAACGUUAAUCUAAUGACGUUUGGUUUGUGUUUCUCCACGUGACCCAGUUUAAGUGAUCUGUGUUAGUGUAAUGCGCAGCGUUAAUGUCAGUUAAUACAUUGUACAUCAAGAUGUCUUGAUCAAGUUAAGAUAACGUGACAUAUGCUAAAUGUGUAGACAAAUAUUUGUCAUAUAGAAGAUUGUUCAUUUAAUACUCAAACCAGUCCUCAACUGAAGUAGACAUUCAUGCACCUAUCCUGACAGCUGAUCGAUAUUUGUGAUCAACUGUGAUCCACCACAUUUUGACUCAAGUGUUUGUCUUUUAUUGUCAUUUGAAAGGUUUCCACACUGUGAAAACUGAGUGAUCUGUGCCAACAGAAGGAGGAGCUCAUGUACAGAGCAGCCCAUUAGUUUCCAUUCAUCUGGCUGUGGAGAAGGGAGACUGCAUGGACAUCCUUAGUUCUCUUAUGUGCUGUGAUGAUGAUGAAGCUGGGUCGUAACAUAAAGACUGCCAACAUACAGUGACUGGUGAGACAGGCCCAUGACAUCAUAUACGGACACUCGAAAAACCAACAUGUCUGCAAGGAACUGAAACCUGGUUCUGUGAGCAGUCCACAGUCAAGUUAUCUACUGAAAUGAGCAUGUGCAUCAGCCAGCCCCGACCUGUCCUGUGUUGUGAUACCGCUUUGUAUGUUGAAGAACAACUUCCAGCAACUCUUGAAGUUAGCAUCACAAACAGAGGAAUGGCUGAACCUCCUAAAAGACAAUAUUCAUCUGCAUCCCGAAGGACUGCUCCCGACAAGAAACCACGUUCAACAGCGAAGAAAAGCAAAAGAAAAACUUUCCUGUUAGCCUGGAUCUGAGCCAGUACAGGUGCAAUACCGCCUCCACCUGUCUCACUAACGGCAAAGAGUCCAGACACAGUGAGGAGGGUCCAGGACCAGAAGUCCAGUCUAAUCACCACCAAUGAUGGACCAGCACCUGCCUUUUCUUCUGUAUCUGGCCUCAUCAGUCAUCAACCACGUUAUAUCAACACCUUGAGGGAUGGCAGACUCCACCUCAGGCCAGAAAAGGUGACAAAGAAGCUUGUUGGUGCUGCUUCUGAAACAGUUGCCUGGGUUACCAAUGUUGGUGUGUUGGCUUUCCAGGAUGGCGGCCAGAUUGAUGACGCCACAUCUUGGAGGUGGACCCCCGGAGGUUCCUGUUGGCACAUUGAGGCAUAGCGGUCCUCACUGGAGGGGAAGCACAGGAUGCUCGGCCUGACUGUUGCCAAGGUGAUCCAGAGGAUCUCCUGGGAGAAGUGGAGGCUCCACUGUUGGAGGAGGACACAUGGGGCAGAGGAGACGCUCCUCCUCAUCCAGGAUCUCCACGUCACCCUGGACGUCUCUUUGCUGGAUUGUCUCUGCAUCCAGGACAUAUGGAGACACAGAGGCGCCACCUCAGCUGCAUUCAGGACCCAGCAGGUGCAGCUGUACAGAGACAGGUAGACUGACAGAGGGGCGGGGUCAGCCUUCUGGUUUCCACCUUAACCACUUCAGCCCAGCCAGUGCCAAGUACUUCCAAGCUCCUGGCAACACCUGCCAGACAGAGCAGGAGGAAGAGCGAGUUGUCAGAGACCAGGAGAGGCAGCCCAGGUGACAGUUCAAGGCAGCGACGGGGAAGAACACCUCCUGUCCUGGGAAAGAGAGUCUCCAGAGCUGUCUUCUUGGACUGAACUCGGGCACUGCAAACUGGGCCAGUGUUAGCCGCCUUGUGGAGGCCGUUUCCAACCAGCUCUGCGUCUUCACCCGGUGGCCACGUGGUCCAGAGGGACCGUGAGGACUCGCUGGUCAUUCAUUCUCAAGGAUCAUGUGGCAUCAGAGAGGCAGUGCUGGUCGGCCCCAGGUUGAUGGCUCAGACCAACAUCCAGCUCUUUGAAUUGAAUUGAGGACUCAGUGGUGCUGGCCAGACUCUCCCUUCAGCAAAGGGUCUGUCCUUGGUCCAGGUGGGACAAGGACAGUCCUUUAACUUCAAUGUCCUGGAGGAGCAGCCUGGGCCCUCCAGCAGGGGUCUGCCUCCUCCUCCUCCUCCUCCAGAUGAUGAACAGCCUGGCCCCUCAUCAAGUGCUGUUGGUCCUCCCCUCGCUCCAGCACCACUCCCCUCUUCUGUUCCUCCACCUCCUCUUCCUGGACUACCUGUACCCAGGACCAGAGCCUACAGGAAGAGGAAGGUGACCUGAAGCUGCUGUGGCAGAGCGGGGGCCGCUGCCUGGAAGUUUAUAUAUUCAGAGAUGACAAAGACGCUCACUGCAUGUGCUGUGGUGCAGUGGAUGGAUGGGCAUCGGUUGAGAAAACAAUAUAUCAUUAAGUGCGGCUCGAUCGGGAAUGGUGUGCUCUGACUUUUCGUAGCGAUUCGAGUAACCAUGGUGACGUAAAUGACGUAAGCGACGUAAAAAUUCCCAUACAGAAUGAAUGGGGAGACGUUUUCAAAACGACCAACCCAGCCCUCUUUGGAGCUCUACUGCUACGUCACACACACACACACACACACACACACACACACACACACAUAUAUAUGUGUGUAUAUAUGUGUAUAUCUGUGUGUGUAUAUAUAUAUAUAUAUAUAUAUAUACAUAUAUUUUGACAGAAGAGAGAAGUCUCAACAUGGUAAGAGGGAAUUAUUGGCUAUUGGCAAUUUAUACUGCCAAACACAGAAGCACAGACACUUUCAAAAUAAGAGUCUAAAAAGGUUAAGAGGUAAGGUAAGUCAUAAAAGUUUGAUCUUAGAAGUGAUUGUCUAUAUGGGGAUGUAGUGGUAAAGCUCUAGCACAGUCACCACCUUCACAGGUGAAAGUAUCGACCAGUUUAACAUCAAACGGUGUUCAGUAGGAAACAGAUGGAACUGACCCACCAGAACUGCAACCUGGAGCAGAACCAGACUCUUCAUAGAUGUGAUGCUGUGACCUCAGAGACGGAUGUGUGACCUCACACACUCUUUAGUGUGAACUGAACAUUGACAGUUCAGAUGGUGAAGCAGGUGUCAGUGUAGUACAGCUCAUGUUCAUUAGUUUUAUUCACAACUUCAUUGUUGUCAUUGAAAAGGUGUUUAAUAAAUAAACCGGUGAUUAAAUUGUA